GAACGAUGAAGCCCAGCUUGCUGGGUGGAUUAGUGGCGAACGGGUGAGUAACACGUGAGUAACCUGCCCUGGACUCUGGGAUAACCCCGAGAAAUCGGAGCUAAUACCGGAUACGACCUUUCCCCGCAUGGGGUUUGGUGGAAAGUUUUUCGGUCUGGGAUGGACUCGCGGCCUAUCAGCUUGUUGGUGAGGUAAUGGCUCACCAAGGCGUCGACGGGUAGCCGGCCUGAGAGGGUGACCGGCCACACUGGGACUGAGACACGGCCCAGACUCCUACGGGAGGCAGCAGUGGGGAAUAUUGCACAAUGGGCGCAAGCCUGAUGCAGCAACGCCGCGUGCGGGAUGACGGCCUUCGGGUUGUAAACCGCUUUUAGUAGGGAAGAAGGGCUUCGGCUUGACGGUACCUGCAGAAAAAGGACCGGCUAACUACGUGCCAGCAGCCGCGGUAAUACGUAGGGUCCGAGCGUUGUCCGGAAUUAUUGGGCGUAAAGAGCUCGUAGGCGGUUUGUCGCGUCUGCUGUGAAAACUAGAGGCUCAACCUCUAGCCUGCAGUGGGUACGGGCAGACUUGAGUGGUGUAGGGGAGACUGGAAUUCCUGGUGUAGCGGUGGAAUGCGCAGAUAUCAGGAGGAACACCGAUGGCGAAGGCAGGUCUCUGGGCACUUACUGACGCUGAGGAGCGAAAGCGUGGGGAGCGAACAGGAUUAG
rnacentral:rRNA from 1 species